CUACGGGGGGCUGCAGUGGGGAAUAUUGCGCAAUGGGCGAAAGCCUGACGCAGCAACGCCGUGUGAGGGAUGAAGGCUUUCGGGUCGUAAACCUCUGUCGGAAGGGAAGAACGGGCAUUGGUCUAAUAGGCCUUUGUUUUGACGGUACCUUUAGAGGAAGCACCGGCUAACUCCGUGCCAGCAGCCGCGGUAAUACGGAGGGUGCAAGCGUUAUUCGGAAUUACUGGGCGUAAAGCGCACGUAGGCGGCCUUGUAAGUCAGGGGUGAAAUCCCACGGCUCGACCGUGGAACUGCCUUUGAAACUGCAGGGCUUGAAUCCUGGAGAGGGUGGCGGAAUUCCUGGUGUAGGAGUGAAAUCCGUAGAUAUCAGGAGGAACACCGGUGGCGAAGGCGGCCACCUGGACAGGUAUUGACGCUGAGGUGCGAAAGUGUGGGGAGCAAACAGGAUUAGAUACCCGCGUAGUC
rnacentral:rRNA from 1 species